GGUAAAAAAAAAGGCACGAUACAAUACACGGGAAACAACACGAUCGGGGCGACGGCGCAUCUUUAGGAGACGAUCGGUAUGAGAGGAGAGGAGAAGGAGAGGUCUGGCGGCGGCUAAAGAGGUGCUCGCCGGCGCGCACAGUUGGAUCGGGGCGCUUCCACCGCGACGCCCCCAUCCCAAAAGAUCCGGCGCUCCCCGCCGCCUGCCCACCUACCCACGCGACGCUACCACUCCCCUCCACCUCCCCACGCGACGCCGCCAGCCCCAAGGGCGCCCACCCCGUCGCCCGGUCGCUGCACCAGCGCCUCCCGGUCGCCCUCGCCGGCCCUCCCCGCCGGCCCCACGUCGUACCCGUCGUCUCCUCAAUCCGUAGCCAGGGGACACGCCAGCGCCCUCCCAGUGGCCCUCGCCGUCCCUCCCCGCCGUCUCCCCAAUCCACAGCCAGGGGACACGCCAAGAACCUUCAGUCAUGAGGCCGUCGCGCGGGAGGUCUUCCAUCUCAGUUUUGUUUUAUUUACGGGUGUUGUCAACAAUUUCAUCACACUCACUGCUUGACCACAGAGGUAGUUGCCGCCUGCAGCCAUUCACAUGCCGUCACCUGCAUCUCCUCUGUGCGUUCCCGUCUCUCCAUGCCGCACGAGGAUGCAGUCAUCACAUCCUUGAGUAGUGGUUUUAACCCCAUAAUAAAGGACUUGCAGGUGGACAUCUGCUAUAAAUAAUCAGGUACUUCUUUCUCAUUAUCAAAUUCAAAUGCUCAGUGAAACUAUCCAAUGGAUGAACUGGUUGUUUAACACUGAAUCAUCAACACUUUAUUCUCUUCUUUUCUCCUCUUCCAUUCACCGCAACAUCUGCAGUGCAUGCUUGUUACUUAUCUCUUCUCUGAGUGCUUGAACAUAAAUACUGAGAAAACCAAAUUCUCUAUGGGCAUGAAUAAUCUUUCGAUUCAUACAUAAAAAUCAAAAUGUGGUUCCAGAGGUCGGGGGUAAUCCUCCUUUUCUAAAAAAAAAGUUCCGGGAGGUAUGGCGUGAUUUCUCUGCUGGUAUGUGUGUGUGUUGCUUGUUUGUCUGCUGCCGGGAGGAUUGCACAGUGCCGAUGCCGGGAGCCAGGGGUCAUCGGAAAAUUGAGAUGCCGAAGUCGAUCACUCAAAACGAGCCUUACUUGGCAGUGACUGAAUCCUCCACAAAUUAUUUGAUGACAUUGAGCCUUGCUUGGCAUUGACUGAAUCCAACAGUGGCGAGCUUGUAUCCCAGACAACCUCUUCGUCUUGAUUUUUUAGAAGCUAACUCACUUCAAAAGGAGGCCUGGAUUACCUUAUAUUCAGCAUUGGUCACAUAGAAUAGAUUUUUUUUUAUGAUGAAGAAGUUUGACAGGAACCUAUCCGAGAAUCAUGCUGGUUUGUGCACUGCAGUUUGCACGAGGUUCAGACGUGUGGCCAGCUGGGCACCGCCUAUAUAUCUAAACCUGAAAAAAGCUUACUAUAUAGAUUGGCAGAAUAAAAUAAAAUUCAUAAAUCACUUUAGUUUUCACUAACGCAGCUAGGGCCAGCACCCACUAUCAAAAGAGACAGCCUCAACAACGGACAGGGUGGCGGAGUAGUCACAUUCCCACCAUACAUAUACUACUAGCUAUACUUCUGGAGCAAAUUCUUUGUCGUAGUCAUCAGGCUGCGGAUGUCGUUGCCGGGAUACACGCUCUCCAAGGUCUCCGGCCAUAUAGGCCCAUGAGGGAUGCAGGGCAUGUUACUCUAUGCAGCAUCAUGACCACAAUGGUGCCUUGGUUUUGAAAAUACUAUUUGAAUGGCAUCACAACAUUUAGUACACACCUGAGACGUGCGUUACACAUGGUCAAUUUUUCAUGAUUUAUUGUUGUUGCUGUUUCCCACAAGGUACUUGAUAAAAAUGAUUGGCGUGUGGCGCUCUUCAAUGACUUGUUCUCUUUUGAAGAGCAAGCAGAGAGAGCAUGAGAGCGCCGUGAUUCUCCAAAUUCCUGCUCACUUCUAUAUCCAUAUAUUUGUUUUAUCUGGUUUUUUUGACUUAUUUUAUUAUCUUGUGUGCUACAUAAGAGGUGUCUUUGUGGAGCUUAAGAACAAUUUAUUUGGUUGGAGCAAACUAAUAUUGUAUUGCAAAGGGCCGGACAGCCAACCAGCUACAAAGGGACUGCCCAAUUUUAUCCAUGUGUUGGACUAGAUGAUAUUUGAUGAUUUGAACCUUGCAAUGAUAGGGUUUCCACAACACUAUGUAUGAUCUAAACAAUGGCUGAAAAUAUUUAUUGGAGCAUUUAUUUCAAACAACUUUGUUAAAAGAUAUUUCUAAUAUUUUAGUGGAUGCGAUAUAUUUUAGAUAGUAGUACUGCUUUAAUGUGGUGUGUACAGAGUUUGCCUUCUGUUAUAAACUUCACACGCUUUGAAAGCAAGAUCAUGUUGUACAGGCGUGCAGUUGUGAGAAAUACAGUGGAUGGCUCCAUAUGAGUUCUCUAGCCCUCUAGAAUUAUGGAGUCAGGUGCAGACUCCGCUGAUGACGACGAUGGUUCAGUAGAGAUAGGCUUGCUCUGUAUUACAUAACUAUGUUCUGUUAGUCAAGUGUCAUUCUGAUGCAGGAGGCAGACGCUUCAAAAUCAUCUGCGGAGUAAGCGAUAGGAGGCCGCUGUGCAACAAAAGGUCAUGUAUAGACCAAUGCCGUUGGUACAAAAUCUCGAUCACAGCGUCCCAUAUCGUGAUCGCACAUCAGAGCUAGCCUACCAAUGUCAGAUGGCAUCGGUUUUACUACAGGGAUGUGGGUCAUCGGCCAUGACAAAAGAUGGGAUACAAAUAUUAUGGAUAAAAGAUGGCAGCAUAAACUUUGCAAUUUUAUGAUAUGUUAUCUGGAAGAUUUUUGCCAUGCGGUGGUCCAAUGAUUCUGGCUAUAUGCACUGGAGUUUAAUCCAUGUAUGUGAACUAAUUAGAUAUCUAUCUAUGUGAAUUUGGAGACACAUACUCCCUCCGUUCGGAAUUACUUGCCGCAGAAAUGGAUGUAUCUAGAUGUAUUUUAGUUCUAGAUAUAUUCAUUUCUGAGACAAGUAAUUCCGAACGGAGGAAGUAUGUGUUUGAGAUGAUUUGAGAGUUAAACAAACUUUAAGUGAGGAUCUUUAUAGGUGAGUCCCUAUACAUACAUUGAUGGGAAAUAUUUUAGGGGAUCUAUGAGAGUUUCUCUAAUUGCGGUUCAUAAUUCCUCGGAAAUCCUCCGAACCAUACCUGUUUACGCCACACGACAAGAGCCGGCAAGGAGGUAGAGUUCACGAAGUACAUGUUUGACCGCGACAACUCCCAAGCAUGUGUAUCCGUACCUGAUGACGAGGUGACCAGGUGAAUACCACUCAUGAGAUGUGCGAACUUGGGAUGAGGAUAAGUAGAACACAUAUUAGUCGCAAGCGGGCGUAAGAAUUUUGUUUCCGUUGCAACUCACGACCACAUUUACUCGAUUAAACAUAAAUAGAAUAUUUUUAUAUUUGAGAGACGUGCAUAUACUUACUAGUUAGUCUUAAACGUGAUAAUUGUUAGGAUUUAAUUAAUCCUAUUAAUCCCUAUUUUUCCUAAAGGAGGCGGUUACCUCAUGUCCCUUCGGAGACAGUCCUUCAGGGACUAUAUAUAUGUAACCUGUCAUCAAUGAGAACAAGGAUUCACUUUUACUUUC